GAUGAAACAGCUCCUGCUUUUGAUGGCUGUCUUCUGCCUGACCCACGUGACCUGUAACGAACCCCCUGUUACUACGUCUGCUGUAACGCUUCCUGCUCAGUCAAGUGUAGACAGUGCUUCCAACGUUUGAAUGGGAAAAGACAAAGUCCACAUAAGCGCGGUUUCAUUCAACAACGCCGCAUGGAAUAUUGCUGUAACCAGAUCUAGUGCCUAAUAACUUGCAAUUGGAAAACUAUCAUUGAACUGUCAACUCUCUAAAGAGGAUGAUGAUCCCGAUAUUUCAUAUUGUCUAAUAAACUUAUCUUGGCAAUCUAAUGUAUUUGAUAUAUCAUUUUAAAUUGAUUUUAAAUUUUAAUUAUUUAUUAAACUUAAGUCCCAUUGAAGUCUUCUACUUUUUGUGAUAGAUGCUGCAUAAUAACUUUAAUUUAAAUGAAUGACGAAAAUUGACUUCACGAAAAAAUCACGACACGUGGCUAGAGAAAUUAUUUCACGAUUUUUCCUCGCUGUUUUAGAUUUCUUCUUUUUGAAUAAAAAAUAAUCAUA